rnacentral:rRNA from 1 species
GACGAACGCUGGCGGCGUGCUUAACACAUGCAAGUCGAACGGAAAGGCCCUGCUUGCAGGGUACUCUAGUGGCGAACGGGUGAGUAACACGUGUGUGUUCUGCCCUCUACUUCUUGAUAUGCCUUGGAAACUGUGUCUAAUACCGGAUAUGAGCCCUUCUUCUUGUUAUGGUUGGAUAGUUUUUUGGGUGUAGGAUGAGCUCGCGGGCUAUCAGUUUGUUGGUGGGGUAAUGGCCUACCAAGGCGGCGACGGGUAGCCGGCCUGCGAGGGUGGACGGCCACAAUGGGAAUGGGAUACGGCCCAGACUCCUACGGGAGGCAGGAGUGGGGAAUAAUGCACAAUGGGGGGAAGCCUGAUGCAGCGAAGCCGGGUGGGGGGUGAAGGCCUUCGGGUUGUAAACUCCUUUCGGUAGGGACGAAGCUGUUUGUGACGGUAACUAGAUAAGAAGCACCGGCUAACUACGUG